AGAAACAUGGUUAUUCGGUCUUCCUUCCUGAUCUAAUCGAGGCGCUGGCGGAGGGGACGAGGGGCGGCCGCCAGAGCUCGAUGUCGCCCUGCUGCUCCAUGCCGCGCCUUUCCCCGCCCCCGACGAGCCGCAUCGAGUGCUCCUAGAGCUCCGCCUGCAGCCCUGCCCGACCUGCCCGCCGCCGUGCUCGAAGAAGAUGGCCGGCUCUGCCGAGUGCCGCUGGCUGCCCCAUGCUCCGCCCCGACGAAGCCUCCCUCCAUGGCCUUCGUCUCAAGGCUGUCGUCUCCAUGGCCGUGGUCUGCAUCGAGCCUGCCAUGUCCUCCCCGCGCCGCACCCGACGCCGCCCAGACCCCAGCAGCUGACCUCGCCCUCCACGCCGUCCGGCACCGCCGCUUCCUCUGCCCCGCCCUUGCACGCGCCGCCCGCUGAUCUGCUGCCCGUGCCUUCCGCCGCCCAGCGUUGCCCCGCGCCCGCCCACGGUCUUCUUGGAUGUGGAUCGGGAUGUGCAGGAGCGCGAGCAUGGCGGCGUCGUGGGCGCGGCCCGUGGACUCGCGGUGAGGUGCGUGCCGAGCCAGAGCCGCUUGCCGUGCGCGCCCAGGACGCGCACCUCGCACACCCAACGGCCCGCGGCGCCGCGGUGGCGCACGCCGCGGUACACCGGGUGGCGCGUCUCCUUGAACUUGGUGCGCCCCGCCGGGCGCUUCGACCACACCGCUAAGCCUUCUUGCCUGCCGUCGUCGUGCGACGAGGAAGAAGGAAGUUCGCAGUAUACGAAAUGAGUGAUCGGCUGCGACCUGUAAGGACCGUGAAGGUGACAAGUCUUUUUGCACUGGCUUCUUGAAACAGGAGUUUUGGGCUCAGAUGAGGGAGAUUGGUCACUGGAGGGAGAUGGAUCCUGAUGGAAGACAAAACACAGAUUUCUUGCUCUUCGUCGGAGGGAAAAAGUUGGUCUCCAUUGGCGGCGGCCGCCGGGAACAGAACGAAAGAUUAGCUACAAGGCGGCGGCGGUCAGGAACAGAACGAAGAUUAGCUAGAUGGCGGCGGCCGGAAACAGAACUCAAGAUUCAUUUGCUGCCCGGAUCAGAACUAAAGAUUGUAUAUAUAGAGAGGCCGGAAUACCAGAUUUGAUGUAUCGUAACUGACUAAUAUAUGGUGCAACUUAGGAAAAUAGUAUGUCACGUAUACUGGCCCUUUGGUGUUGGAAAAAUAUCUUAUAUUUUGGGCGCGGGGGCUAUACUCGUCACGUACUCUGGGCUUGUUGCAUCUGUUACUGCCUAUAUGCUUUUGUGGCUAGCUUGUAGAUAGACGCCUGCACAUCAAGAGAUAAUGGUUCGUGGCGCAGGAGGGUCUCUGGCGGCUGCCGCCGCUCGUGCUACCGGAGAAGAAGACUUUCGUGCCUGUAUAUGAACUAUAUGCAGCAGGAUAUGAAUGUAUUACUGGAAUUGUUAUUGCA